rnacentral:rRNA from 1 species
UACGGAGGGUGCAAGCGUUGUUCGGAAUUAUUGGGCGUAAAGGGCGUGUAGGUGGCUUACCAAGUCUGGUGUGAAAUCCCACGGCUCAACCGUGGAACUGCAUUGGAAACUGGUGAGCUCGAGUAUUGGAGGGGGUCGCGGAAUUCCCGGUGUAGAGGUGAAAUUCGUAGAUAUCGGGAGGAACACCAGUGGCGAAGGCGGCGACCUGGCCAUUUACUGACACUGAGACGCGAAAGCGUGGGGAGCAAACAGG